rnacentral:rRNA from 1 species
AUUGAACGCUGGCGGCAGGCCUAACACAUGCAAGUCGAACGAGUGGCGGACGGGUGAGUAAUGUCUGGGAAACUGCCUGAUGGAGGGGGAUAACUACUGGAAACGGUAGCUAAUACCGCAUACCAUCGGAUGUGCCCAGAUGGGAUUAGCGAGUGGGUGGGGUAAAGGCUCACCUAGGCGACGAUCCCUGGCUGGUCUGAGAGGAUGACCAGCAACCCUGGAACGGGGACACGGCCCAGAACCCUAGGGGAGGCAGCGGGGGGGAAUAUUGCACAGUGGGCGAAUGCCUGAUGCAGCCAUGCCGCGUGUUUAAAGAGGGCCUUCGGGUUUUAAAGCACUUUCAGCGAGGAGGCGUUACUCGCAGAAGAAGCACCGGCUAACUCCGUGCCAGCAGCCGCGUAAUUC